AUGGAUGAGGCAAUUGAGCCCUACACAACAAGCAUAUUUAAUGCAUCAAGGUUGUUAGGCACAAUUGUUCAUGUAGAACCAUCUGCUAAACUUACUGUGACUUCCUUUCCAGGAUUCUCCAUGGAAUCUUCGAACAGAUCAAUGGAUAAAGCAAAAGAACGUCCAUACGGGGCUCUGUCAGGCCUGCUGCUUCAGGUCGUCCUCCCCAAGAGUGUGAGAAGAAGCUGCUGCUGCAGAAUGUACCGCACGCUAUAUACUCAUGGGUCUUCAGGACAGAGAUGGGAGGCUCUUCUACAAGCUUGUGAUCGACAUCGGGGAGCUGCAUAUCCUUAUUUAUAG
rnacentral:rRNA from 1 species